rnacentral:rRNA from 1 species
AACGAACGCUGGCGGCGUGCCUAACACAUGCAAGUCGAACGGAAUGAGGGGGCUUGCUCCUUCAUUUAGUGGCGCACGGGUGAGUAACGCGUAGAUAAUCUGCCUGAUGAUCUGGGAUAACAUCUCGAAAGGGGUGCUAAUACCGGAUAAGCCCACGGGGUCUUUGGACUCUGCGGGAAAAGGGGGGGACCUCCGGGCCUUCUGUCAUCAGAUGAGUCUGCGUACCAUUAGCUAGUUGGUAGGGUAAUGGCCUACCAAGGCGACGAUGGUUAGCUGGUCUGAGAGGAUGAUCAGCCACACUGGAACUGAGACACGGUCCAGACUCCUACGGGAGGCAGCAGUGGGGAAUUUUGCGCAAUGGGCGAAAGCCUGACGCAGCAACGCCGCGUGAGUGAUGAAGGCUUUCGGGUCGUAAAGCUCUGUCAAGGGGAAAGAAGUGUAUUGUGGUUAAUACCCGCGAUACUUGACGGUACCCCUAAAGGAAGCACCGGCUAACUCCGUGCCAGCAGCCGCGGUAAUACGGAGGGUGCAAGCGUUGUUCGGAUUUAUUGGGCGUAAAGCGCGUGUAGGCGGUUUAUUAAGUCUGAUGUGAAAGCCCUGGGCUCAACCCAGGAAGUGCAUUGGAUACUGGUAGACUUGAAUACGGGAGAGGGCAGUGGAAUUCCUGGUGUAGGAGUGAAAUCCGUAGAUAUCAGGAGGAACACCGGUGGCGAAGGCGGCUGCCUGGACCGAUAUUGACGCUGAGACGCGAAAGCGUGGGUAGCAAACAGGAUUAGAUACCCUGGUAGUCCACGCCGUAAACGAUGAGUACUAGGUGUUGCGGGUAUUGACCCCUGCAGUGCCGCAGCUAACGCAUUAAGUACUCCGCCUGGGAAGUACGGUCGCAAGACUA